rnacentral:rRNA from 1 species
UACGGAGGGUGCAAGCGUUAUCCGGAUUCACUGGGUUUAAAGGGUGCGUAGGUGGGCAGGUAAGUCAGUGGUGAACUCUCCGGGCUUAACCCGGAAACUGCCAUUGAUACUAUCUGUCUUGAAUAACGUGGAGGUGAGCGGAAUAUGUCAUGUAGCGGUGAAAUGCUUAGAUAUGACAUAGAACACCAAUUGCGAAGGCAGCUCACUACACGAAUAUUGACACUGAGGCACGAAAGCGUGGGGAUCAAACAGG